GUCUCACGUAGGUCCUUUUGUUAGUCUGGUCCGGCUCCCGCGUGGGAGGGUCUCUGGGCUACCUCUGCAAGGGCCCUGGAAAAGGCUGGCAGAUCUCUUUGGUUAACAACAUCCUGUCAUGGACUGCUUUUUUGAUCCUCCUGGUAACUCUUGGUAGAGGCCAAGGGGACCAACCGGGGUAAUCUACAAGGUUGAUUAACUGCAGGAAAUAAAUGUGAACUUCAGGGAAAAAAAACAAAACAAAAAAAAAAAACCAAGCCCUAACUGAAGAAAGUUUCUCCUAAAACUACCAAAUCCCCAUUCCACAUGGACAAGUUGGGAAUUUGAUAGUGAAAGUAGAAGAUACCGUCACAAUCAUAAUUCAUCCUAGGAAAAAGACAAAUUGGACUCCAAGAGAGAACUUCAGGAAAGAGGCUGGAAACAGCAAGUUGGAGCUUUUGGCACUAGAGAAAUUUUCCUUGUUUACACCUGGGAGAUCAGGAUUUGAGUGAAAUUAAACAUAACAAGGCAGCAAGGAAGGGGUGACCAUGGAAAAAUUACCCCAGACUCUUGGAGAGAGAGCUUUGCCUUCUCAAGAUUCUGCCCUUUCCCAAAAGAAGAACUCAGGGGAGGAUAGAAUGACUGCUGUGGUCCUGACAACCAAG